CAAAGAACAUAAUUCCUCUUCGUGCCUGGACUGUGGCUUCAUUGGCGGGUGGAUCGAAAAGCUUCACUUUCAAUUUGUGGAAAUGGAGUCAUCUCACAGUGGGAGAAAGGUCUGGACUUUUCCUGGGACGAGUCGCUCUUGUGCAUCGCCGUGAUGACUAAUUAUGCAGAAACAACGAGGCGUGCACCCAUGGGGUCAGCUCUGAGAGGAAAAACACCCGAUGAAGAUGUUGAUGCCUGAAGCAGCUGAUCCACAGCUCCUGCAGAGGUCCAGCUUCACCUUUGCUGCCGAAUCCGCCUCUCGCAGAGCUGAUUGAGGCUUCUCCCUCCACAGAUCACCCGGCUGGUAGGGAGUUUCUAAAAGCUCCCAGAAUCCCCUGCUUCAGCGGGGUGUGUGGGUGGGGUGCGUUCCUUAGCCUCCUGCUGCUGUCUGCCUCGGCCUGGACCCUGUUGAAGCCUGGUUUUGCUCUACUUUCCAUCCCUGUAGUCUAUCCUUCCUCAUGUUGCUCCUGGGUUUUAGUUCUUGUUUGGUUACUCCGAAGCACCUUGAAUUACUUUGUGUACGAAUUGUGCUAUACAAAUAAACUUGCCUUGCCACUUUGUUAGCCUUUAUUUGAUCAUUUCUUGUUGAUUACAGUAGUUGUCCUAUUUAUUUUGCUGCUUAAAAAGCCUAAUAAUGAAUUAAUUAAACGACAUUGCCACACUCAGUUUUGUCCCAGUUCUUUUUAAUUUUACAAAUAUAUUUUAGUGUACAUAUGGAUGCCACUGACCUGGUUUGA